UUCAUAGUGCCUGAUAAAAAGGAUAUCUUUGAUAUAGAUAUAUAUGUAUAAAUUUUUUAUAUACCUAUGU
rnacentral:tRNA from 1 species